AGGAAGAGGAAGAGAAAGGGGGGAGAGAGAGAAAGAGAAACAGAAAGGAGUCUGGGGGAAGGGAAGAGACCAGUUUGAGGGGAGAAGGAGAAGAAAGGAGGGUUUCUAAAGAUGAAUAUGGUCAGAAUACAUGAUACAGCCGAAGGGAAUCUCAUCUUUAGGGAACUCAUCACUUCAUAGAAGGACGAAUUAGUGUAUCUAAGUGCUGUCAAGAGCAACCUUGGUGUAGCCUCUGCAUCUCUCUGAGCCAGAGCCUUCCGUCCGUAAAAGAGCAAAGGGGCAGUUUGCAAGGUCACUGUGAGCACCCAAUGUGAAACCUUUAACAAUCCGAAGCCUGGCACAUUGGUCCUCGGCAAAUGGGGUUUUCCUAGAGAUGCUUUCUGUCUCCUGGGGUUCUAGCUGCUGCUCCCUUUCAAAGCAUCCCCUUCUUCCUUAUCUCGUGCCAUCCUCACGAGGGGGCAGGCUACGGGUUAUCUCUGCAAGCCGACGCGCCAGACAGUCAGUGGAAUGGAUCCGACAAUCAGUCAUCCUCUGUGUAAAACACACUUAGAAAGGAAAGAUCGCUAGACAGUGCUCUCAGUUGGGGGAAGCGAAACAGAGCAACAACAAAACCCCCACAGGGCUAAGUUGCAGCCAUCCACUUUGGUAGAUCUGCAGAUGAAAUGUCAGCUUGAGAAAAAAGUCAACAGCCGUAAAAGAAAGAAGGAAAAGAAAGCAUGCACAGAACACUGGCAACGCGUGUCACUAAGUGCAGAACGCCGCUGCGUGUUUGUAGCCCUGGGGCAGAUGAAUGGAAGAUCAUCUGCGAUCAGGACAUUUACUCCUUGUGGACAAGGAUAAACGGAGCUCGAAGCCCAAGCCUAGCUUGAUGGCUCCAUUUCCUCCCAAUUCAGAGCUUCUAAAGGACAGCGUAUGCUUGUGAUUACUGAAGAGGUUAUCAUAUUGUGCUUUUACAAUGGCCAGGGUAUAGGGGAAGGAACACACCUUUUUAGUUCCAGACCUGGGAGGCAGAGGCAGGCGGAUCUCUGUGAGUUCAGAGCCAACCUGGUUUACAUACUGAGUUCCAGGACAGCCAGAGCUACAUUGUGAGAUUCUGUCCAAAAAUAAAUUACAACAUCCAGUUCCCACACUGGGCCAAAUGAAUCCACGCCUGAAGGGAUGAGGCCCGGCUGCAUCAGCAGCUUCUCAAGUUGUCCCACUGUGAGCCGGAUCUGAGAACCUAGAGCCAUGUCCCUGAAGUCAUAGCCUGGAUGAGACUGAACCUGCAUCUGGACGCUUGCCAGCUUCCUACCAAUGUGGACUCUCUUGAUCCUUGGACCACUCUGAUUUUAAAAGGCUGUGCAAGAAUUCCUAAGCAUUUUUACUUUAUUUCAUUUUACAAAAUCACUUUAGGUUCCUCCUGCUAUAAAACCAAAAGUUUGGGCUCGAGGGACUUUGACCUCAUUGCCUCUGCAGACUUGCACAGAUAGUGACCAAUUGGGAGGAAUCGUCCGUGGUUCUCCGCGAGCCAUGUCACUGUCACCUGUCCGUGUUUACUGAAGCUAAGGAAGAUGGACGUUGACUCUCCAUAGGGCAGAGUGAAGCAGAGCCGUCUGAACCUCUAUGUGCACUGAACUUACGGGCAUGAUCAAUUUAAAGAUCCAAGAGCUCCAGAGAUACCCCUACAGAAACUGAGAGACUUGGGUUCCACAGAUUUCCAAAAGGAGACUAGAGUGGGUUGCUGUAACAGUAAUUACAGUAAUCAGUAAAUGGCUCCUGCAUGCCCGGUGCUGUUCUGAUAAUCACAUAAUCAAAGUCUGUAUCGUCUUCGCAUCCAUCCUGUGGACUAAGGACUUCUAGUCCCAGCUUAUAAACUGAGAAAACUGACAGACAAGGAGUCAGAAGACGGCCAGGAACGACGCGUGUGGUGCUGGGCAGCAGUUAAAUGUUGGGGUCCUUUCUUCAAACAGUGUGUGACCAGAGAAAGGAAAGAAGAGAAAAAUAGAAUCAAGAAGGAGUAGGCCUCAUGGAUAAUACAUUUAGGAUUCCCAGCCUGAGAACCUGGCUUCAGAUUCUGGACUUUAAAUAAAUAGUUUGAAUGCAGGA